CUCAAAAAAGCACUCGGUUGGGAGAUGUGUAGCUUCAGGCAAAAAGCUGUAAAAGGGGCAGCCCCUCCCCAGGGAGGUUUAGCUGGGCUGGGGAAAAGGAUGGCAGGAAGCCUCUGGCAACAGGCUUCAUCUGUGGCGUAUAAGAACACAUUUAUUUAAAAAUGAGAAGGAGUGGAAUUGGGAAGGCAGAGCAGUGGCAGCGCUGGUCAUGAAGCCCAUGGAAUCCCCUUCCUCACUAUAUGUUGGAAUCAAGUCUCUGGGAUGCAGUGAAAGAAAAUUUAGAGAGGACCAGGCAAUUCCAGGCACAACUCUAGCAGAUGGUUUUGGUGAUGGAAAGCACAAGGGGAUUGCUCCCAGGAGCUGCUCAGGCAGUUAAGUCAAAAAUGAACUGAUGCAUGUAGCAAGCCACGGCCCUGGCCCAGCUGACUCCAGACACUUCCCUCUGUACAGGCAGCCUGUGCUGCCCCCAUUUAUACACCCAGCUUUCUCUGCCUUUAAUCAGAAAGUCUUCUGGAAGGGGGGAUUGGCCCUCUCCUGAGCUCCCUGAGCCAGUUUGUGUCAGAGAAAACAGCGUGUGAACCCCUUCAGUUCAGCCAUACCUCUGCUGAUCCUGCCCACCACAGCAUCGCCCUGACACCCCACCCUGAUGCAAACCUGAUCGUGCUGGAGACCAGAUUAUUUUUUUUAAUGUUUACACAUUGUAAUGUAAAACCUUCACCUUUUGUCCAUGGCAAAUAUCGCCAAAGUUGUGAAGUAAGAAAAGCAAAUUCAUAUUUUGUCAAUAUUAGCCCAAUAAACAAAAUUUGAGAAUUAAAUGCAUUCUGUGCUUAGCAAAUGAAAGUUAAUUUCUGUUACGUGAGAACUGACUUUCUUAACAACAUUUCCCUUGCUUUAGUGAAAUAAUCUAGAGGCAUAUUAGGAAAUACAAACAUUUUUCAGGAGAACUAUACAUAAUUUAUAGGGAAGCAGAUCUGAAUUAGCUAUAGCAUUGCCCUGAGCCUUCCUACAGUCCAUAGGUCUGGAUCUCAGCUGUGCACAUGGAUCUGCUCCCUCUCUCUGAUGAAAACCUCUCCCAGAAACAGUUAAACACAAGAAACCAGAAAUGAUCCAUAAAUUAGGUCUGGCUAUAGGUUCAAAAUCAUAAGUUAUGGCCUAUUGACCUCAUACUCUGAGGGGAAAUCAGAAGCAUUUUUCUAAAGAGCCACCACUGGAGGAAGGGAGGUUUAAUAUAUGGCACAGCAGAGCCCUGCUGCAAAUAAAUACAGCGCUGCAUAAUUGCAGGGAAAAUCAAUAAAUAGCAUGGUGGUUAAAAUAAAGAUAUGCAUAUUGAGGGUUCGGGUUUAUAGGUGUGAAUGAUUGUUUCCCCAGAAGCAGAGGAAGAUUUUUUUUCCUGCGUUAAAGCCUCUAAAUACAACAGAGGCAACGGCUCCUCCACUGUCCCUUUUGCAAGGAGCAAGUUUCAGCCAUUGUCUUCCUCAGAGCAGCUAUCUGGAGUCGUCAUUAUUAACAUAAUUAAUAAGUGCAGUUUGCUCAUUUGAAAAAUCCCGGUGACUUUUGCCGCUCGGGCGUCACGUCAGCGCAAGACACAAAAAAUCGCUGUGACAACUGUUUUGCAAGUUCAGGUUUUAUUGACGAGCACCACAAAGAGAUGAAGCCCAGAGCAAGUCCCUUUUCACUUUAAUAUUUAAACCUCUUUUAAGAGGACAUCAAUAUUAACUCCCGUAAUUGAUGCUGACAGGUGACUGUCUGACCAUAAAAAAGACAAGCGAUAGAACUUAAAAAAAAAAAAUCUAAUAAUGACAACCAUGACGUGCUGGUCAGUGCAGUGAAGGACAGUGGGAUGAGGGAUCGAGGUCUCCUGCAUCCCUUACCUGUUGAAGUGGACCUGGUGAUGCACCCAGGAAUGGAGGGGACCCUUUGGCCUCAGCUGAUUUUGUUCCCCCAGGUAAAUCCCUGAAUCUCCUGGAUGAGAAACCCAUCCUUGCUCAGCCUCAAGAUCAGCCAAUGCUUUUAAUAAAUAAAUACCAAUUGUAGCUAGUUAACCUCAGGAUUUCCAGCAUUAAAGAGAUUUCCCACAGGAACCAGAGAGCACUAGAGGAAUGGAUAAAUGCAAAGUUCAUGGGAAAGAGCACACGGCCCUUCGCAAAUCCCGAUGUGAGGGGGAAAUACCCAGCAAGUGACUGUGAGACACACUCCAAAAAUAGUGAUUUAUUGGACAGAGCUUUCUGAUUUUCAUUGAUCCUGUUCUGAGAAAUGGGUGCAUUGUUUCUGUUAAAAUCUGGGCUAAAAAUUGUCAAAAUUUGAAACAAUGUGAAACUAAGUUUUAACGUAAAGAGUUACAUGACCUGAGUAUAGUUAUUAUUGUUGCUCCAUCUAUAAUCCAACCAGAAGGAACUGUUCAGUAAAUCCUCUCCAUUUAUUUAAAUGGAGAUAUAUAGUUUUGCUGCAUUUGAGUUCUAUGCAGAAUAUGUCAUAAAACCAAAACUAGCAUGAUAAAGCUGAUAAAAGUAUUUUGAAUUGUGACUUCUUUUUUUUUAUCUUUUUGAAAUUGAAGGCAGGGAAACAGCUAAAAUAUCUUGUACACAUUAAAAAACAGAACAGUGUUCACUACAGGGGAAAAUAUUUCUUGAAUAGAAAAUUGGGAUAAUGGUUUAAUGGAAAAAUUAUCAGUGACAAUACUUCACUUUUUCUCCCAAUCAGUUGAAUGGUUGCAUAGACAGAAAUCUUUCUGAAUAAGGCAUUCCAGUUAAGCCAUUUUAGGUACUUCCACUCUUACAUUCAUCCUUAAACGAAAACCAGCAAAAUUCCUUCUCAGCGCCCCUCUCCCAGCAAACAGCUCCUGCUCUGUAAGUGCUUAACCAGGAUAUCCCAUCCAGUCCUUUUAUUUAUAUCCUUUGUGUUUUUCCUCUGUGCUUUGGGGUUCACUGGGCAGUUUUUUCUCCUUGCAGAGGAAGAUGCACAACAGAAGAACUGGGAUUAAAGAGACAAUAAAAUGUCCUAACCGCUGCCAUGCGGCAGGGAGCAGGAUACAGAUUUAGUGCUAACAACAGAAAACAGGAGAGCUUUGUAGCAAUUAAAGCUGAGCAAAACCCACCAAAUGCUGGAGAAAAUAAAGGGGAGCGGAGUGGAAAUCAUUGUGGUAUUAUGAGUCUUAAAA